rnacentral:rRNA from 1 species
UACGUAGGGUGCAAGCGUUGUCCGGAAUUACUGGGCGUAAAGGGCACGUAGGCGGCCUGCUAAGUCGAACGUGAAAUCCCUGGGCUCAACCCAGGAACUGCGUCCGAUACUGGUUGGCUUGAAUCCGGGAGAGGGACGUGGAAUUCCAGGUGUAGCGGUGAAAUGCGUAGAUAUCUGGAGGAACACCGGUGGCGAAGGCGACGUCCUGGACCGGCAUUGACGCUGAGGCGCGAAAGCCAGGGGAGCAAACGGG